rfam:Metschnikowia bicuspidata var. bicuspidata NRRL YB-4993 METBIscaffold_2, whole genome shotgun sequence.
GCCUGGCUAGCUCAAUGGCUAGAGCGUGAGACUUUUAAUCUCAAGGCUGCGGGUUCGACCCCCGCGUCGGGCU